GUCCGCGGCGUGGGUGAGGGCGGGGCUCCGGGAACGCGUAGGCCCGACUGUCCAAUAAGAAGCGCAUUCUUCACCUCGUUCCCGUCCGGGUCGGCCGCCCGCGGAAAUUUGAAAUGGCGGAUGGGAUGCGGGUGAGUGGAGGUCUGGAGCCGCAGGCGAUGGCCUCGGGGCACCCGGACUGGGCAGCCGAGAAGGAGCUGGCACCUCUGGAGGAAGGUUUGUUCCAAGUUGAAGAUUCAUCAAGUGAUUGUAGCUCUCAUGAUAAGCCAGGCAGUAGCUUACAGAGUUUUGUGCCGGAAGGAAAGUCUCCCUUCCCAGAAAUUUUCCAAACAAGUCAACUUUUGUUCUAUGAACGAUUUAGAGCCUAUCAAGAUUACAUGUUAGCUGACUGCAAGGCCUCAGAAGUAAGAGAAUUCACAGCUGAGUUCUUAGAGAAGGUCCUUGAACCAUCUGGAUGGCAGGCAAUCUGGCACACUAAUGUAUUUGAGGUGUUGGUUGAGAUAACAGAUGUGGACUUUUCAGCCUUGAAGGCAGUGGUGAGACUUGCUGAACCAUAUGCUUGUGAAUCUGAAGUGAACACAUUCACCUUGGAAUGUAUGAAAGAGCUCCUUGAACUGAAGGAAUACCAGUUACCCCUGCAGGAGUUGUGGGUUGUGUUUGAUGAUUCUGGAGUGUUUGACCAGACAGCACUUGCAAUUGAGCAUGUCAGGUUUUUCUACCAAUUCAUUUGGAGGAGUUGGGAUGAAGAGGAGGAGGAUGAGUAUGAUUAUUUUGUCAGAUGUGUUGAACCCCGUUUGAGAUUGUAAGUAUUUCCUCUACAUUAGUUGGAAAAGUGGUUAACCAUGGAUUAAUUUUAUUGUUGUGACACACACACACACACACACACACACACCUGCAAUAGACACAUAGACACAGACUCUAGGGACCUACAGACAGAAAUAGACUGAUAGACAAAUAGUAUGACCCCUUGAUAAGUAUUAAAUGAAACUUAUGCAAAGGCAGAGACAUCUGUUCUGAGUUUUAAAGCAGAGGUCGAGUGCUUGGUUUGGCAGCACAUAUACUAAAAGCAGAGGUCAAGAACAUCACAG
rnacentral:lncRNA from 1 species